UCAUCCUUGUCCUUCAUAUUGCUGCUUGGAGUUUUGUGGAAUUUCACCUUCCUCCCCCAUUUGUUGUGGGUCCUUAACCCCUUUUUCUUGUUCUUUCUAAUAUCAAUCUUGCUUAGCUUGUAGAGGUGCCUAGUCUUGUGGUCUGGCUCUCAAUUCCUUGAGAGAGAUGAUUUGAUUGGAUAUGUUCCUCCAAUGAAACUUGAUGCUGCAUUUUCUAUGUGCAAUCCAAAAAAGAAUUGGUCGUUGAUUCUUCAGGUUUUUCCUUUCUGAUGACAUUCUAUAAAGUGACUCAUUUUUUUAUAACUAAAGAAGUAACAGUGAGUUUUGAAUAAUUGAAAAGAAAUCUUCAGUUGUGUAUGAAUAUUUAGCCAAAUUACUUCUUGUUUCAAAUCUUCUGAAACUCCCCCAUUUUCAUGAUAUAUACUACUUUUAAUAUCAUGUAAUAAUGAAAUUGUGUUCCUCUAUGUUUUCAUUCUACUUUAUUUCUCUAGAUUGUAUCUCAAAUUAGGUAUUAGCGGUUUUUCUAAGUUAAUAAUGUUUCUUUCGUUGCUUGGAAGUUUACGGAAGCUGGAAAAAAUCAUUGUUGUCCAACCCUUUCAAAGGCUACAUUAGUAAUUUAAUUUGCUAAUGAAUUUCCUUUCUGAAAACAUUUUGAAGUCUCACUUGACAUAACUAAGCUAGAUACUUAAUGUGUCCUAUUAUAGUUGAAAUCUGCCACAGAAUCUCCCAAAUUUAAAAAAGAACUCGAAUAAUGUCUAAAGAAUCAAUCUUAAAAAUCAUCUUAUUGAGGCUCAUAGAAACACAAUGAUAAAUGAUCUUUUUGAUUGCAAUUCCUUCUUCCUCAAUGUCUGUUGUCUCAUGAAUUACCUCCCUUUGAGCAUAUAUAAGAUCUCCUCUAUGAUUACUUGAAAAAUAACCAUAGGAACUCUUGUUCGGAUUGUCUUACAUUUAAACACUUGACAUCAUGUGGUUUUCAUGGAUAGUUGGUAGGUACUCAAUUCAUAAGAUAAGUGAUUUUUACUAGUCUUUAGAUACAUGGGCUCACCUUAAACAAGACUAAUGUAUGACGAUUUCUUCCCAUUCUUAAGAUUAUUUAUCAUUUUUUAUAAAUAUCACACGAACUGGGAUGGGUAGUGUGGCCACGGUAACUCCCUUUUUAGCCUUGAUCCAUGUUUUCCUCUUGAUGCAGCACAAGCCUGGUAGCAUGAUCGCGCCGCAUGUGACUUUUUGUAGAACCUCACAAUUUUCUUGAUAUUUUGUAUGUCCAUUUGACUAUUGAAUCUCAGACUCAGUCUUGAUAACAUUCCUCAUUCCUCUAUUCCGACUUUGAAACUCCAUAACACUUCAAAUUUUCUUUCAAACAUGCUUAUUAGCUGUAAAAAAGUUGUGCAAAGAAGCACACUCAUAAGCAUAUAAUGAUUAUAAUAAUGAUUAAAUGAUGGUAGAAAAACACAUAUGAAAACUUUAUAACAACUAAAUGUAUGUAUUUUAUACUGAAUAUCAGUUAUCAUCAAUGUCAUCGUGAUUCAUUUAUUUU